UACUAUACUAAUAAAUGAAACAAUCCUAAAUUAUUAAUAGAUAUAAUCUUUAAAUUUGAAGAAUUUGGCGGUGAUUUAGUCCUGUUAGAGGAACCUGUUUUUGAAUCGAUACUCCACGUGGAAUUUUACUCCUUUUAUUUAGUUUGUAUACCGUCAUUAUCAGAUAAUUUUUAGAGAAGAAAUUAUUAAAGUUUAUUGAGAAUAAGUGAAAUUAGAUCAAGGUGCAGCUUAUAAAUGAGUUAAAAUGGGUUACAAUAAAAUUUAUUUAAUACGGAAUAACUAUAAGUGAAAUAGUGUUAUGAAGGAGGAUUUAAUUGUAAUGUAAGUUUAAUAAGCUUGAAAGAUAUAGGCUCUAAACAU
rnacentral:rRNA from 1 species